rnacentral:rRNA from 1 species
UACGAAGGGAGCUAGCGUUGUUCGGAAUCACUGGGCGUAAAGCGCACGUAGGCGGAUUGCUAAGUCAGGGGUGAAAUCCCGGGGCUCAACCUCGGAACUGCCUUUGAUACUGGCGGUCUAGAGUCCGGAAGAGGUGGGUGGAAUUCCUAGUGUAGAGGUGAAAUUCAUAGAUAUUAGGAAGAACACCGGUGGCGAAGGCGGCCCACUGGUCCGGUACUGACGCUGAGGUGCGAAAGCGUGGGGAGCAAACAGG